UGUUCAGGUACCGACCGGCACCGACGAAACCGGUCGACGCCGAACUGAUCCGACCGCUUCACAAGCCCACCGUAGAUGUCCGACGCGGUGGUCGGCGACGAUCUGGACAAACCGAAGACGUCUGGUGCGGCAAGCGGUGGCUGUUUUGCACUCCGACGAGAAACCGCACCGCACCAAUUGAAGAAAACCCAGAGAAGCCAUGAAAGCAAAUGCAAGGAAUAGGAAGAAGAAGAAACGGCGCUGGACUUAACAUAAGGAUAGUCCCAGUAAGUCAACAACGAAAGUCCUCAACCUCCGUCGCUUGCUGCCACCGCUUACUGCCACCGCAAUCUAGUGCUUGAUGCCGUGUUUUUUGGAGUUUCACCCUCUCCUCUCUCCUCUUUGUCAUAAUAUUUUCAAGAGUUUCUAGUGAUGAUUCUGACUUCAGAUGCUCUUCCUUGCAAAUGUAAUGCUUUCUACCAGGUUUGUUUAUGUAAUUUAUUUUCAAUGGUUU